rnacentral:rRNA from 1 species
UACGGAGGGGGCUAGCGUUGUUCGGAAUUACUGGGCGUAAAGCGCACGUAGGCGGACUGGAAAGUCAGAGGUGAAAUCCCAGGGCUCAAUCUUGGAACUGCCUUUGAAACUCCCGGUCUUGAGGUCGAGAGAGGUGAGUGUAAUUCCGAGUGUAGAGGUGAAAUUCGUAGAUAUUCGUAGGAACACCAGUGGCGAAGGCGGCUCACUGGCUCGAUACUGACGUUGAGGUGCGAAAGCGUGGGGAGCAAUCAGG